CCUACGGGUGGCUGCAGUAGGGAAUAUUGGGCAAUGGCCGAGAGGCUGACCCAGCCAUGCCGCGUGCCGGAUGAAGGCCCUCUGGGUUGUAAACGGCUUUUAUCAGGGAAGAAGAGUACUGAUGCGUCAGUAUGUGACGGUACCUGAGGAAUCAGCACCGGCUAACUCCGUGCCAGCAGCCGCGGUAAUACGGAGGGUGCAAGCGUUGUCCGGAUUUAUUGGGUUUAAAGGGUGCGUAGGUGGCCCCCUAAGUCAGCUUUGAAAGUGGCCUGCUU
rnacentral:rRNA from 1 species